UGGAAACCAGGACAGCAAAAACAAACUUGGCAGAAAGCUCACACAGCUCAGUCUCAGAUUCCAGAAGACCUCCGGUUAAGAGUCAGCAGAAAGAAGACCAGAUUGCUUUGGAGAAGAGUCUUUGAAGAAAGGUGGGCCUAGAGAUGGGUCAAGGAGAGAGAGAAACAGGGAGGGUACAGCAGACAUUUGGCUAGGCCUGGAGUGGAGGUGGUGCGCAGACGAGGAUCCCUUACAAGUAAUCAAAUAUGGCUUUCAUGGAGUGUGAGUAAAUAGAGGGUUGAAAAUUUUCAAAAUGAAUGUUGUGAAAAAAAUUAUGAAAAGAAUAUGUAAUCCCUGACUUCUGGUGACUAGAAGUUUCUUUGCACUACUUCUAUAUAUUCUUCAGAAAUGGAAGACCGACGCUCAUAAAGGCCUUUACACCAGGCAUCUGGUGAUCUACGUGUUAGUCCAGGCAUUACCCCUCUAAAAACUGGAAAGAAAAGGAACAAGAGAGUCAGCUAUGGACAGGACUUCAGAUAGCAGAGGGAGAGUCUGGGAUGGCUGUUCUAUUGGCUCACUGGUCUCACUGGUGGAUGUGGGAGGUGGUUUUAAGCACAAAGAAUUAUCUAAAGACAUAAGGUGCUUAGCAGUCAAUAUAGUUACCUUUUUUAUAUUUUGCCACAUCAUUAAUUAUAACUUUUGCCUGAGAACAUAAUCCUGGUGGCUUUGAAACCUCUUGGUUUCAAAGAGCCACUUGUUACACCCUAAAGCAGGAAGUGCCAUCCUAGUAGUUUCUACUAGGGGAGACAGGUAGUGUGUGUGUGUGUGUUGGGGGGUGCACACACACAUGCGUGCACAUUUGCAUGACAUUUGAAUCAAGUGGAGACUGCGUCAAGGGAGUGGACGAAAUCACUGUUUCCUAAACUAUAAUCCUGUUUUUUAAACAAAGAUUUUGUGAUCAAAUAAGUUUAGAAACACUGUGUAUUAUAUUGUUUUUUUCAGCUUCCAAGUACAGUAGUUUAUUAAAGACUUUGUAGUAUAAGAUUUUUUAAACUUAUCAGGAUACUUAUUGAACAUUAUGCUAUAGGCACCAUUAUGCAACUAGGAGAGCAAUUUAAAACAAUCAUACAGUAAUAUUUUCUAAGAAAUUCUAUUGCUAUUCAAUGGAAAUCUGGAGACAAUUAUUCUCUCAAAAGCAGGCCUUGUACACAUUACAUUAUGUAAAGUACAGGGAGGAAUGGCCGGUAAGAGUUCUGGGAGCCACUGUGACUCUUCAGUGAAAAUGAGGCAUUUAAAAAUACUGAUAUUAAUCUAUGGGAAAGUCUGACUUU